CUUGAGGCCAGCAGAGCAUCAGGUCACAGGAACAGGAUGCACAACUUUUGCCAGUGGGUCACUAGGGGUACCACUGGUAAUAGUGAGGGGUGCUACUCCCAUUUUCUGGACCCGUGAAUCCUGGCCGUGGGAGAAGAAGCGCCAUAUAUUGGACUUUGAUUCAGAGCAUGUACAGGCUCCUAGAGACCCUUGCCCCAGUCCUACAGGGUAUUACCACCUAGCUGUACUGCAGCUGAGUCUGCAAAAGCCAAGUCCACCAUUCUAUCAAGCCAGCUGCCAUAGGAUGGUGGGGAAUAUGUGUCAGGUAGCACAUAUAAGUGUGUUUAAUACUCAGAAUUUGCCUCUGCAGUGAGGUUACGGCAUCACAAGGCAGGAGGCUCCCUGGUCAUGUCUGUGGUUUGGCCAGUCACCAUGGAGCUGUCAGCAGAGCUGAGGGAGGUGGCUAUUUCAGGUACCCCGGCCAAUGCCCAGCUCAGAGAAGGUAGAGAAUGAAUGUUACUGAAUUAAGUGCAUUUCCCAUUUGAUAUAUUUUUAAAUUAAAAAUGGAAUAUUUCAUCCUUUUAAAAAAAACCUGUCACUGCUCAACCCUGGUCUAACAGUGAUCCAUACAAGAAAACACUACUUUACCAUUUCACUAACCCUCAAGUAAUUGCAGCUAGUGUAGAGGGAAUGUAGGUUAGCAGGGAAUAUGCAGUGCUAGAGGUUAGGUGUCCCACGUGCAACCCUGGCCCUGUCUCUUACACUCAUGUGACCUUGCACCAGUUGCUGUCCGUCCCUAAGCCUCAGUGUCCCAAUCCAUGAAAUAAUGGAGUUGGUUGGUCCCAUUCAAAGCUAAGCUUCCUUGAGCUUAUAACCCGGUCUUAUCUCUGGGUUUGAUUAAAUGUCUUCUUUCUAGAUAACCCAGAAUCCUUGUUUAGGGGUGCUGGGUCCUAGGCCGCACAGAGUGACCAGCCCCUCCAGCAGUGUGUCCUCAUCUUGCUAUUCAUGACCCCCGCUGCCCACCCCCGACCCCGCCAGGAGGAGACGGUCCCUGAGUUUCUUCCCCAUCUCUUCCACUGCCACACCUUCUACCUGAGAGGCAGCAAACCAGCACCCACAACAUCAGGGGACUUGGGUUCGAGCCCUGGCCCCGGAAGAUCCCACGUGCCACGGAGCAACUAAGCCCGUGUGCCACAACUAUUGAGCCU